rnacentral:snoRNA from 1 species
GCUUCCUAGUUACUUGAACAUGAUCUGUUCUAUAGGCUCGUACCGCUGCAUCCUUUACCAAUAAGGAGGCAAACACUUCACUCUGGUUGAGGUUGGCACUCCUGGGACCUGUUUCAUAAAGGUCAGACA